GGUCGCCGUUCCUCACUACGGAUCGUCCGGCACGUACCUGCCGGUGAAGGAGCACGAAC
rfam:Curtobacterium sp. Leaf261 contig_2, whole genome shotgun sequence.